rnacentral:rRNA from 1 species
UAAUACGGAGGGUGCAAGCGUUAUCCGGAUUCACUGGGUUUAAAGGGUGCGUAGGUGGGUUGGUAAGUCAGUGGUGAAAUCCCCGAGCUUAACUUGGGAACUGCCAUUGAUACUAUCAGUCUUGAAUACCGUGGAGGUCAGCGGAAUAUGUCAUGUAGCGGUGAAAUGCUUAGAUAUGACAUAGAACACCAAUUGCGAAGGCAGCUGGCUACCCGAAUAUUGACACUGAGGCACGAAAGCGUGGGGAUCAAACAGG